rnacentral:rRNA from 1 species
UACGAAGGGGGCUAGCGUUGCUCGGAAUCACUGGGCGUAAAGCGCACGUAGGCGGCUUGUUAAGUCGGGGGUGAAAUCCUGGAGCUCAACUCCAGAACUGCCCUCGAUACUGAUGAGCUCGAGUCCGGGAGAGGUGAGUGGAACUGCGAGUGUAGAGGUGAAAUUCGUAGAUAUUCGCAAGAACACCAGUGGCGAAGGCGGCUCACUGGCCCGGUACUGACGCUGAGGUGCGAAAGCGGGGGGAGCAAACAGG